rnacentral:tRNA from 2 species
AGGGCUAUAGCUCAGUUAGGUAGAGCACCUCGUUUACACAGUCCGUAUAGCCCUA